rnacentral:rRNA from 1 species
GAUGAACGCUGGCGGCGUGCCUAAUACAUGCAAGUCGAGCGAACAGACGAGGAGCUUGCUCCUCUGACGUUAGCGGCGGACGGGUGAGUAACACGUGGAUAACCUACCUAUAAGACUGGGAUAACUUCGGGAAACCGGAGCUAAUACCGGAUAAUAUAUUGAACCGCAUGGUUCAAUGGUGAAAGACGGUUUUGCUGUCACUUAUAGAUGGAUCCGCGCCGCAUUAGCUAGUUGGUAAGGUAACGGCUUACCAAGGCAACGAUGCGUAGCCGACCUGAGAGGGUGAUCGGCCACACUGGAACGGAGACACGGUCCAGACUCCUAAGGGAGGCAGCAGUAGGGAAUCUUCCGCAAUGGGCGAAAGCCUGACGGAGCAACGCCGAGUGAGUGAUGGAGGUCUUCGGAUCGUAAAACUCUGUUAUUAGGGAAGAACAAAUGUGUAAGUAACUAUGCACGUCUUGACGGUAACUAAUAAGAAAGCCACGGCUAACUACGUG